GGCUUUGUGCAGUGGCAGUAUUGUAGCCAAUGAAGUUUAUCCAAGGGGCCAUUAUUGCUAAUUGAAAACUUUUUCCAAACAAG
rnacentral:snRNA from 1 species